ensembl:lncRNA
CCUGGUCUGGCUGGUCCCCUAUACCUGGUCUGACUGGUCCCCUAUACCUGGUCUGACUGGUCCCCUAUACCUGGUCUGGCUGGUCCCCUAUACCUGGUCUGGCUGGUCCCCUAUACCUGGUCUGGUAGGAGAAUGUAGAUUAGGUGUGGACCACUACCGUCUUCGGAGGUCUGAUUGGUUAUACACUUUUGCCCCAGAACACCUGAUUAAACUAAUUUGCAUUCCAAACUGAAGCCCAUGAUUUGUUGAUUAUUGCAGUCAGGUGUGUUAGCUGGGGCUGGAGUGUGUCACCAAUCAGGCUCUGAGGACUGGAGCUUUUGCUACAGAGGAACAUGAGUGCUGUGUACUUUUAUUUAAGUACAUGGUCUCUUUCACAAGCCCUGCAUCUACAAUUUCAUAGAAAAUAUCAAAAAAUAUAAUACAAUAUAAAACCAGUCAAAUACAGCACAACACAAAUACUCAAGAAAAACAAUAAAAUUCCUCAAUAAAAAGGUGCCAGAAUAUCCUAUUGUAAUGUGUUGUGUAGUUGGUUCCAGCAACGAGGUGCUUUAAAACUAAAACGUUUGAUGGAGACCCCAGGAACCUCCAAAAGUUAAGCAACCUUGUGAACGUGUUUGCUUUCACGUUUGAAAAAAUAUUUUCACGGCAACGUUAGGUUACGUCAGAAGCUUGUGUAGUAGUGCUUUGUAAAUAAAGGGGAGUAAAUGAGGUGAUCUUCUGGGCUUUAAUGAGGACCAGCAGGAUGCAGUAGUGAGUAUUAAAACUGUCCCCUGUGAUAAAGCGACGGACGCCAUGGUAGACGGCAUCCAAAGGUUUAAGAGUAGUGGCUGAUGCAUUCUGGUAAAUGGUGUCACCAUAGCCAAGACCUGGCAGGAAAGGUGACUGUACAAUCUGCUUCCUGAGGCAAGAUCUUUUUCUUGUUAAAGAAGCCCACUUUAUAUCUGAGCUCUUUAACUAGCUCAUCUGUAUGUUUUUAAGCAUUAAGUCUGUCAAUCCAAAUGCCCAGAUAUUUAUAGGUGGGAACCCGAUCGAUACGAGAACCAGACAAUUAUUAAAUAUGUAGUCCAACUGAUUUUUUCUUUUUGCGAGAAUUAGAGAACAACGUAAAUAUAGUCUUGCCUGCUUUACGUAUGUUAUGGUAACCAUUGCAUCAUUCUUCUGUUACCAAGGGGAUGAAUGUGAUGUGAAGGGCAUAUAUAAAAAUUUCACCGCAGAUGCAGAAGUGCGACAUCGGCAGAUGUGCGGUGGAUUGAGACUCAUAGCUGCCGAUGUCUCACUUCUGCAUCUGCGGUGAAAGGAGGCAGAGCUACAGCUGUGUUUGUUAGACCAUGAGACGUCCAGAAAAUCAGUCUUCUCACGAAAAUGCCGAACGGUUUGGCCUCCAAAAAUAUUAUGAUCAGAUUCUCACAAACACAUUUGGUGUUCUCCGUUUUGCUCUACGGCCCCCAAAAGAGUCUUGGGACUCGUCUACAUUUGUCUAUCUAGAGCUGUAGUGGGGCUGUGUUGAUGUGUGAGAGAGAGAGAGACGUUGUCUAUCUAGAGCUGUAGUGGGGCUGUGUUGAUGUGAGAGAGAGAGAGAGAGACGUUGUCUAUCUAGAGCUGUAGUGGGGCUGUGUUGACGUGAGAGAGAGAGACGUUGUCUAUCUAGAGCUGUAGUGGGGCUGUGUUGACGUGAGAGAGAGAGAUGUUGUCUAUCUAGAGCUGUAGUGGGGCUGUGUUGAUGUGUGAGAGAGAGAGAGACGUUGUCUAUCUAGAGCUGUAGUGGGGCUGUGUUGACGUGAGAGAGAGAGACGUUGUCUAUCUAGAGCUGUAGUGGGGCUGUGACGAGAGAGAGAGAGACGUUGUCUAUCUAGAGCUGUAGUGGGGCUGUGACGAGAGAGAGAGAGAUGUUGUCUAUCUAGAGCUGUAGUGGGGCUGUGUUGACGUGAGAGAGAGAGACGUUGUCUAUCUAGAGCUGUAGUGGGGCUGUGUUGACGUGAGAGAGAGAGAGAGAGACGUUGUCUAUCUAGAGCUGUAGUGGGGCUGUGCUGUCAUAGGAUUAAAACUAGAUCCUGUCAACAUGCUGCAUUAAAGACAUUCAGAGGCUGACGACCCACACUGGUGUGGUUAUCGACACCUUUACAAUACUCUCAAUACUCUCAAUCUGCUGCAUGUUUUUACACACUUGUUUCAAUUCAUUCACUUGUUAUAAGAGAUUCAAUCUUAUCAAUCUUAGGUAGCCUAGUGGUUAGAGUGUAGAGGUGGCAGGUAGCCUAGUGGUUAGAGUGUAGAGGUGGCAGGUAGCCUAGUGGUUAGAGUGUAGAGGUGGCAGGUAGCCUAGUGGUUAGUGUGUAGAGGUGGCAGGUAGCCUAGUGGUUAGAGUGUAGGGGCGGCAGGUAGCCUAGUGCUUAGAGUGUAGGGACGGCAGGUAGCCUAGUGGUUAGAGUGUAGGGGUGGCAGGUAGCCUAGUGGUUAGAGUGUAGGGGUGGCAGGUAGCCUAGUGGUUAGAAUGUAGGGGUGGCAGGUAGCCUAGUGGUUAGAGUGUAGAGGUGGCAGGUAGCCUAGUGGCUAGAGUGUAGGGGUGGCAGGGUAGACUAGUGGUUAGAGUGUAGAGGUGGCAGGUAGCCUAGUGGUUAGAGUGUAGGGGUGGCAGGUAGCCUAGUGGUUAGAGAGUUGGACUAGUAACUGGAAGGUUGCAAGUUCAAAUCCCCAAGCUGACAAGGUAAAAAACUGUCUUUCUGCCCCUGAACAAGGCAGUUAACCCACUGUUUCCUGGUAGGCCGUCAUUGUAAAUAAGAAUUUGUUCUCAACUGACUUGUCUCGUAAAAUAAAAAGCAUGUUCAUUCGUCAUACAAUAGUUGGAACUUGUUUCCGUUUCUAUCUUUUCAACAACUGUCUUGUUUCUUUACACACAUUUUUGAUGGCGGACUGUGCUAGGAGCAGGAGGUACAUCCUGUCUUUUCAAACGUCCAGAGGAUGUUUUGUGUCGAAGCUGAGAGAUAAUCAGAACGCGAGCUGCUCUGUCAGAGGGCCAGGCAGUCGUUUGGUGUUCAACAUCAAACUGAUCCUGUCAGGCCAGGUGUUCAACAUCAAACAUCAAACUGUCCCUGUCAGGCCAGGUGUUCAACAUCAAACUGUUCCUGUCAGGCCAGGUGUUCAACAUCAAACUGAUCCUGUCAGGCCAGGUGUUCAACAUCAAACUGAUCCUGUCAGGCCAGGUGUUCAACAUCAAACUGAUCCUGUCAGGCCUGGUGUUCAACAUCAAACUGAUCCUGUCAGGCCAGGUGUUCAACAUCAAACUGAUCCUGUCAGGCCAGGUGUUCAACAUCAAACUGUUCCUGUCAGGCCAGGUGUUCAACAUCAAACUGUUCCUGUCAGGCCAGGUGAUCAACAUCAAACUGAUCCUGUCAGGCCAGGUGUUCAACAUCAAACUGAUCCUGUCAGGCCAGG